AGGGCACCACCAGGAGUGGAGCCUGCGGCUUAAUUUGACUCAACACGGGAAAACUCACCCGGCCCGGACACUGGAAGGAUUGACAGAUUGAGAGCUCUUUCUUGAUUCAGUGGGUGGUGGUGCAUGGCCGUUCUUAGUUGGUGGAGUGAUUUGUCUGGUUAAUUCCGAUAACGAACGAGACUCUAGCCUAUUAAAUAGAUCGUUGGCUACAAACGCCGGCGAGACUUCUUAGAGGGACAGGCGGCGAUUCAGCCGCACGAAACAGAGCAAUAACAGGUCUGUGAUGCCCUUAGAUGUCCGGGGCCGCACGCGCGCUACACUGAAGUGAUCAGCGUGCAUUUUGAAACCUACUCUGUCAAGAGUGGGGAACCCAAUGAACCUUCUUCGUGAUUGGGAUAGGGGAUUGUAAUUAUUCCCCUUGAACGAGGAAUUCCCAGUAAGCGCGAAUCAUAAGUUUGCGCUGAUUACGUCCCUGCCCUUUGUACACACCGCCCGUCGCUACUACCGAUUGAAUGUUUU
rnacentral:rRNA from 1 species